AUGCCAUUACAAGCCGGGAUUAGACAGUCCAGACAGACAAUACAAUCUGUGACGAAAUCAUACGGCUAUGCCAGGGCGAGCAGUGCUGCUGCUCGGCAGUCACCCGCUUGGAUCCUGCCUUUUGAACUUCCCGAGUGGGAGAUCAGUUGCAGGAGUUCAUUCAGGGGAUGAGGAAGGUGACCAUGCAACUUACGUGGGUCAGAAGCAGAGGGUUCUCAACUAA